AGGUGUGAUCAAACCAAGACUAAUGCACGGGAUCACAUCAGAAGUCCGCAGUCAAGCAUGCUUGGGAGAGAGUAGUACUCGAAUGGGUGACCUCCUGGGAAGUCCACCUGCUACACCUC
rfam:Lupinus angustifolius cultivar Tanjil contig_1836, whole genome shotgun sequence.